GACGAACGCUGGCGGCGUGCUUAACACAUGCAAGUCGAACGGAAAGGCCCUGCUUUUGUGGGGCGCUCGAGUGGCGAACGGGUGAGUAACACGUGAGUAACCUGCCCUUGACUUUGGGAUAACUUCAGGAAACUGGGGCUAAUACCGGAUAGGAGCUCCUGCUGCAUGGUGGGGGUUGGAAAGUUUCGGCGGUUGGGGAUGGACUCGCGGCUUAUCAGCUUGUUGGUGGGGUAGUGGCUUACCAAGGCUUUGACGGGUAGCCGGCCUGAGAGGGUGACCGGCCACAUUGGGACUGAGAUACGGCCCAGACUCCUACGGGAGGCAGCAGUGGGGAAUAUUGCACAAUGGGCGGAAGCCUGAUGCAGCAACGCCGCGUGCGGGAUGACGGCCUUCGGGUUGUAAACCGCUUUCGCCUGUGACGAAGCGUGAGUGACGGUAAUGGGUAAAGAAGCACCGGCUAACUACGUA
rnacentral:rRNA from 1 species